rnacentral:rRNA from 1 species
GACGAACGCUGGCGGCGUGCUUAACACAUGCAAGUCGAACGCUGAAGCACCAGCUUGCUGGUGUGGAUGAGUGGCGAACGGGUGAGUAAUACGUGAGUAACCUGCCCUUGACUCUGGGAUAAGCCCGGGAAACUGGGUCUAAUACUGGAUGCUACAUGUCACCGCAUGGUGGUGUGUGGAAAGGGUUUACUGGUCUUGGAUGGGCUCACGGCCUAUCAGCUUGUUGGUGAGGUAAUGGCUCACCAAGGCGACGACGGGUAGCCGGCCUGAGAGGGUGACCGGCCACACUGGGACUGAGACACGGCCCAGACUCCUACGGGAGGCAGCAGUGGGGAAUAUUGCACAAUGGGCGAAAGCCUGAUGCAGCGGCGCCGCGUGAGGGAUGACGGCCUUCGGGUUGGAAACCUCGUUCAGCAGGGAAGAAGCCACAAGUGACGGUACCUGCAGAAGAAGCGCCGGCUAACUACGUG